UACGUAGGGGGCAAGCGUUGUCCGGAUUUAUUGGGCGUAAAGAGCGUGUAGGCGGCCAGGUAGGUCUGCUGUGAAAACUCGAGGCUUAACCUCGAGCUGUCGGCGGAAACCAUCUGGCUAGAGUCCGGAAGAGGAGAGUGGAAUUCCUGGUGUAGCGGUGAAAUGCGCAGAUAUCAGGAAGAACACCAAUGGCGAAGGCAGCUCUCUGGGACGGUACUGACACUGAGACGCGAAAGCGUGGGGAGCGAACAGG
rnacentral:rRNA from 1 species